rnacentral:tRNA from 1 species
GCUCCCGUAGCUCAGUGGAUAGAGCAUCUGCCUUCUAAGCAGAGGGUCGCACGUUCGAGUCGUGCCGGGGGUA